rnacentral:lncRNA from 1 species
CAAUUGUCACAGCCAGAAUCAGAAGUUUAUCUGGCUUUCCAGUUUCUGCUACUUUCUGAGUUGGAGACCCCCUUACUCAAAACCUGAAGCUCAUGCAAAUUUCAUUCAUUUGGUUGUCUAUCAUUCAGUAUCAUGGGCCACAAAUAUUUCAGACAGCAGCCUCUUGAUUCUUUAGCAGCUAUAAUCUCACCUUCCAAGUUACUCGCUUUGAUCGAGCUACAACCAGGUACAUCAGUCUGCCAUUGUUUCUCUCACUUUCAUGUCAUCAUCCCACCUAUUUGCACUUGCAUAAGUGUUUGAUAACAGAACAUAGUUUCUUCUAUUACUAGGAUCCAACUCAAGAAGCUUCUUGGUGGCAAUCUCGGCUAGACUCAACUUGCCAUGCACCUUGCAAACUCCUAGCAGUGUCCUCCAACUAAUAGGAUCUGGUCUCAUUGGCAUUUUUGUGACAAACUUCUGAGCCUUUUCCUGUUCACCUGAGCGACCAAGGAGAUCCACGACGCAUCCCUAAUGCUUCUUGUCUGCCAAUCAACUACGUGCACAAGCAAUCAGGGGAUCAACGAAGGUAACAUCGUUGCUGAAAUCCUUCCUUCAUCGUAUCAGAGAAAACUUCCAAUGCACUUUCUACAUAGCCAUUAGCUGGUAACCAUAAUGUAAUUGAAUUCCAUGACAAGGAAUCCUCCAUCCCACCAAACACUCUGAAUGCCUCCAUCACCCAUCCACACUUUGAAUACAUAUCUAUCAAGAUUUCCCCACAUAAAUAUCUGCCUUAAUGUUGCUUCUCGGAAUAUAAUUACGAAUCCGCUACCC